GAUGAACGCUGGCGGCGUGCCUAAUACAUGCAAGUUGAGCGAACGGACGAGAAGCUUGCUUCUCUGAUGUUUGCGGCGGACGGGUGAGUAACACGUGUAUAACCUACCUAUAAGACUGGGAUAACUUCGGGAAACCGUAGCUAAUACCGGAUAAUAUUUUGAACCGCAUGGUUCAAAAGUGAAAGACGGUCUUGCUGUCACUUAUCGCUUGAUCCGCGCUGCAUUAGCUAGUUGGUAAGGUAACGGCUUACCAAGGCAACGAUGCAUAGCCGACCUGAGAGGGUGAUCGGCCACACUGGAACUGAAAAACGGUCCAGACUCCUACGAGGGGCAGCAGUAGGGAAUCUUCCGCAAUGGGCGAAAGCCUGACGGAGCAACGCCGCGUGAGUGAUGAAGGUCUUCGGAUCGUAAAGCUCUGUUAUUGGGGAAGAAAAAUUGUGUAAGUAACUGUGCACGUCGUGACGGUACCUAAUCAGAAAGCCACGGCUAACUACGUG
rnacentral:rRNA from 1 species